rnacentral:rRNA from 1 species
AGAGUUUGAUCCUGGCUCAGGACGAACGCUGGCGGCGUGCCUAACACAUGCAAGUCGAGCGAGGACAGAGAAGUAGCAAUACGACUUUGUUCUAGCGGCGGACGGGUGAGUAACGCGUGAGCAACCUGUCCCGAACAGGGGGAUAACGAGCCGAAAGGCUCACUAAUACCGCAUGAGACCACAACGUCACAUGACGAAGGGGUCAAAGGAGAAAUCCGGUUCGGGGUGGGCUCGCGUCUGAUUAGCUAGUUGGUGGGGUAACGGCCUACCAAGGCGACGAUCAGUAGCCGACCUGAGAGGGUGGUCGGCCACAUUGGAACUGAGAGACGGUCCAAACUCCUACGGGAGGCAGCAGUGGGGAAUAUUGGGCAAUGGGCGAAAGCCUGACCCAGCAACGCCGCGUGAAGGAAGAAGGUCUUCGGAUCGUAAACUUCUAUCCCCGGUGAAGAUAAUGACGGUAACCGGGAAGGAAGCCCCGGCUAACUACGUGCCAGCAGCCGCGGUAAUACGUAGGGGGCAAGCGUUGUCCGGAAUGAUUGGGCGUAAAGGGCGCGUAGGCGGCUCGGUAAGUCUGGAGUGAAAUUCCUGCUUUCAAGGUGGGAACUGCUUUGGAUACUGUCGGGCUUGAGUGCAGGAGAGGUAAGUGGAAUUCCCGGUGUAGCGGUGAAAUGCGUAGAGAUCGGGAGGAACACCAGUGGCGAAGGCGACUUACUGGACUGUAACUGACGCUGAGGCGCGAAAGUGUGGGGAGCAAACAGGAUUAGAUACCCUGGUAGUCCACGCCGUAAACGAUGAGUGCUAAGUGUUGGAGGGUUUCCGCCCUUCAGUGCUGCAGCUAACGCAUUAAGCACUCCGCCUGGGGAGUACGACCGCAAGGUUGAAACUCAAAGGAAUUGACGG